AUGUCUUACUUGAUAACUCUCUGUUCGUGGCAAAUCUUUGUAUCCUUCUAUAUUAAUACACAUAAUAUUUAUCAUGUUUUACAGCAUCCUACACAUCUGCAGUCCAAACCUGAUCCAGAACAGUUCUGCCGGGAUGGGGGGUUUGAAUGUCCCUGCUGCAGUUUCACCACUGAAGAGAAGUUCUCUUUUACACUUCACCUAGAGAACCACAUAAGUCAUGCAGUGGAGCAUGGAGGUUACUUCAUCUUAAAAUGCAAUAAACAGUGCAGGACCACAGCCCAUUUUCACUGUCUUUACUGCAGCCAGACAGUAAUAUGCAAGCCACCCCCCCCAGCUACUUCUGUUUCAAAGCCUCCAGUCUCUACCCCCCUUUCCUCUGAUCCUGGCACCUUUGUACCACCCCCCAUCCCACUCCCUCAAAUUAGAAAGAAGAGAGAGACAGUCAUGUGUCCUCAUUGUGGACUGACACUUAACAGGAGAAAUGUAAAGCUGCAUAUUCUGAGACGACAUACACCAAAAAAAAAUGGACAUUACCACCCAGAAUCCCUUACUGACAGAGCAAGUUUUACAGACCAUGGUCGAUGACCUUUGGUUUGGGGAGGACAAGAAGGAGAGAUGUUUGGCACAGCAGAAAAAGGGAAUUAAUGCAGGGGCCCCUCUCUCCUCCCUAGUGACCGUUUGUGGACCCAGCUACAAAAAGUACAUUUCUGUGUUUGAGCCCGCCAUUUCAUACUACAGCAGGCUUGGUCACGUCAUAGUUACAUAUGAUGCCAACACCAAUUCUUGGCAUUGUCCUUGUGCCAGACCAAGGCAGUCAUGCCUUCACAAAUAUGUUGCAAAGUGGCACCUGUUUGAAGUUGAUCGGGAACUCUUCCGGAAAACCAGAAGUGUGUGGAGCAGGACAGCAUCACACAACAUUUUCCCACCGAUGUGGAAGGUUUUGAGGAAGAGGAAGGAAUCCGAUACCCACUUGAAGGCCAGAAUCUAUCUCAAAUGGUUAAAUACAUUUAUGAAAAAAAAAAACUGCCUGCUGAGAUUCCUUCCGAUGUGGUAAACACAAGUCAUUUUCCUCUGAGCUUCACACCAUCUGAAGCCUUCUGCACUGAAUGUUCAGAGGUUACUCCACUAAGCGACCCAGUGAUUAUCACUUAAAAAGCCAGAAUCGUGACGAUGACCAAUGUCAUAGAAGGUUUGUUGCUUUUUUUUUUACAUAAGUCAUUAAUUCAACAUUUAAAUGUACAUUCUAAAUGUAAUGUGAAAUGUUGAUGGCCAUGACUGUCAGGGUCUUCCUUUCCAUUUGUAGGUGUAUUAAAAUGUCCAUGCACUCAUUUUAGUGUUGUUCAUUGUGGAGGGUUGUGCUUUACAGCAGUAAUAGAAAAUGUUUAACCUCUUUACUGGCACUUGUUUUUGGCAGGAAUUUCAAUGUACAGCAAAGAGUGCUACAGAUGUGACAUGGAGUAUCGGUAUCAGGAGUGGAGUGAUGGGAUUCAUAAUUUUGAUGAUCACACUUUUAUCGAUACACUUGUGCCAUUUUCUGUGCAACAGUCUCCAGGUAAGAACCAUGUUGGUUUAAAUGUGUUGUAUA
ensembl:lncRNA